AGAACAAUUAUCUUAAGAAUAUCAACUUAGCGACUGUACCAUCUUCAGCUGCCUCUGGAAAAAGUUUUCAAGCUGGUGUUGUUGGCUAAAAUCAGCCCAAGCGAAGACAACCCAUACGAGUCCUGAGACCCUGAGCUGUCAGGUAAAGUGCAUUUGAAAUAAACCACCUUGAGAUUUCAACAGGAAAAUACAAUUUGUUGUCUCUGGGUCUUCUGCAAAUCUGCUGGUAUCAAGCUUAGAAGACAUGCUGUGCUGUCAUUCCUUACCCUCAUACCGUUAGUGUCUUAAAAGAUUUUUGCCAAAAUAAACUGUAAUUGCAACUGUU